rnacentral:rRNA from 1 species
CAUACCACCCUGAACGCGCCCGAUCUCGUCUGAUCUCGGAAACUAAGCAGGGUCAGGCCUGGUUAGUACUUAGUACUUGGAUGGGAAACUAAAGAAAAAUUAAAA